rnacentral:tRNA from 1 species
GGCUUGCUUGCUCAGUGGGUAAGAGCGCCGUGCUAACAACACGAAGGUCAUGAGAUCGAUCCUCAUGCAAGCCA